CAGAACUGAGCUCUCGGGGUGAGUGAAGAAGGACAGCAGAGCCAAGGCAGCCCACAGAGUCAUCAUCACAGAAUUUAGGGGCCUGGGAUGGCUUUCAGCUCUCACUCUGCCAGGGAGGGAUAAGGCCAACCCGAAUCUGGGCAGGGCCCUGAGCCAUGGUGGAUUUCCUGUUCUCCUCCCUAUCCUGGUGCCUGCAGACCCAGGAAAAGCUCCAGCCUCCCUCAGAAUGGACCAGGGGGAGAGGGAGGCCAGGAGGACAGGAGGAAUGGGCUCAGCUGCUUAGCCCCACGUGGGCAACAGGUCCUGAGCACUGACUAUCCUCAUACCUGAGAGGACGAGGGAAGGAGGGAGGAGUGGGCCUGGACCCCACGAAGCCCCCUUGGCAAGAGCUGUAAGCUGCCUGUCUUCACCUCCUGAGAACAACAGCCUAUAGGGCAAAGGCCAGCUCGUGCUGUGUCCGCAAGGAGAAACCCGUCUUCACCUCCUUUCUGGGGCUUCAGCACCUGCAAGGAUGCUUAGGCUGGAGAAACAGGAGGAGGAAGAGGAGGAGGAAGCAAAGAGGCAACAGGAGCUCAGAAGAGCGUACGCGGGCUUCCAGCCGGUAUGCACAGGCAAGAAGUGAAGUGGGCAGCCCUGGGGCAGAGGAUGCGACUACUGGACUGAGGUUGAAUCCUUUACGUGUCGCCACGCGGUCCCC
rnacentral:lncRNA from 1 species